rnacentral:rRNA from 1 species
GGUCUUGCGGCUGAAUGCUCGCCGGCACUCGUCCUCCGAUUUCGACGGCGGCCGCACUCGCGGCGGAGAAGAGUAAAAGAGAGACGGACGCGCCCGGUAGGGAGCGCCGAACGGCGGUAGAGCAAGUGAGCGCGCGCGGCGGGGCUCGGAGACUCGGUGCCCGUGCCCGUAGUAAACACUAGAACCCCGUCCGUCGGGCGAAAGGGAAUCCGGUUCCUAUUCCGGAACCCGGUUGCGGAACCGCACUCACGAUCCUCGUAUUGACACGGUAACGUGAAAGACCCCAGAGAUGCCGUCUGGAGCCCCGGGAAGAGUUUUCUUUUCUGCCUGAGCGUUCGGGUUCCAUGGAAUCCUCUCGCAGGGAGAUAUGGAAUGGAACGCGAAGAGCACCGCAGUUGCUGCGGUGUCCGGGGAGUCCCGUCGGUCCUUGAAAAUCUGGGUGAGGGUCACGUGGAGGCGUCGCACCGGCUCGUACCCAUAUCCGCAGCAGGUCUCCAAGGUCAAGAGCCUCUAGUCGAUAGAC